rnacentral:rRNA from 1 species
UUUCCGGUUGAUCCUGCCGGAGGCCACUGCUAUUGGGGUUCGACUAAGCCAUGCGAGUCUAUGGACUUCGGUCCAUGGCGGACGGCUCAGUAACACGUGGCUAACCUACCCUCAGGUGGGGGAUAACCUCGGGAAACUGAGGGUAAUACCCCAUAGGGGAAGAGGUCUGGAAUGAUCCUUCCUUGAAAGGACAUCCGCCUGAGGAUGGGGCUGCGUCCGAUUAGGUAGUUGGUGGGGUAAUGGCCCACCAAGCCUACGACCGGUACGGGCCUUGAGAGAGGAAGCCCGGAGAUGGGGACUGAGACACGGCCCCAGGCCCUACGGGGCGCAGCAGGCGCGAAACCUCCACAAUGCACGAAAGUGCGAUGGGGGAACCCCAAGUGCCUAUGCACAGCAUAGGCUUUUCCCAAGUGUAAACAGCUUGGGGAAUAAGGGCUGGGCAAGUCCGGUGCCAGCAGCCGCGGUAACACCGGCGGCCCGAGUGGUGGCCACUCUUAUUGGGCCUAAAGCGUCCGUAGCCGGUCCAGUAAGUCCCUGUUUAAAUCCUACGGCUCAACCGUAGGGCUGGCAGGGAUACUGCUGGACUUGGGACCGGGAGAGGACGAGGGUACUCCAGGGGUCGCGGUGAAAUGUGUUGAUCCCUGGAGGACCACCUAUGGCGAAGGCACUCGUCU